UACGGAGGGUGCAAGCGUUAUCCGGAUUUACUGGGUUUAAAGGGUGCGUAGGUGGGUCUGUAAGUCAGUGGUGAAAAUCUCCAGGCUUAACUCGGAAACUGCCAUUGAUACUAUAGGUCUUGAAUUAUCUGGAGGUGAGCGGAAUAUGUCAUGUAGCGGUGAAAUGCUUAGAUAUGACAUAGAACACCAAAUUGCGAAGGCAGCUCACUACGGAUAUAUUGACACUGAGGCACGAAAGCGUGGGGAAUCAAACAGGG
rnacentral:rRNA from 1 species